UCCCAAUGCUGUUACCUCAACAACUAAAGACAAGUGUCUUCCUGCCCUGAGGACAACGAGGAGAAAGACAGUCACUUUUCUUAAAACUUGAAGAAAAUGUUGUUAAAAAAGGUCAGAAUGGAUGUGGCAGCUGUCAAAAAGGGCAGCAGCAGCCCAUGAAGCAGUGAACUCUGGGCACCAAUCACGUCAACACACAGAACAGGGGAGAAAUCCCACAUCCAUCCACGUCACACUGCAGCACAUCAAGCGCACGCUUCUCCGCUCUUCUCCACUCUCCUCUGACUGCACUUCAGAUGGACCACAUGUUGGUGCUGCAGAAAGAACGGAGGGAUGCUGGUGAAACAGAUGAGUGGAUGUUCAGUUCGAAAUGCAUCAAUACGCCUGUCCCGUCUCCACCUGUAGCAGUCCGAGCACAGCUGAGUGCUCGCCGAGCUUCAUCCUUCUCUGUGUGGACAAGCUCACAUUCUUAGCCAGGACGGAUUGAGCCAGUUUCUUGAUACCGGCAGAGGAUUUUGGACACACAACCGUGGGAAACGCGAAGUUGUCGGGAGAUCACGCAGGGACGGAUGCCGUGGUGAGCCAUUUCAACUAUUU